CGCCUCCCAAAAGGUAACGGAGGCGCUCAAAGGUUCUCUCAGUACGGUCGGAAAUCGUACGUAGAGUGUAAAGGCAAAAGAGAGCUUGAUUGCAAGACAUACAGGUCGAGCAAGGAUGAAAAUCGGACUUAGUGAUCCGGUGGUUCUGCGUGGAAGGGCCAUCGCUCAACGGAUAAAAGCUACCCUGGGGAUAACAGGCUUAUCUCCCCCAAGAGUCCACAUCGACGGGGAGGUUUGGCACCUCGAUGUCGGCUCAUCACAUCCUGGGGCUGUAGUAGGUCCCAAGGGUUGGGCUGUUCGCCCAUUAAAGUGGUACGCGAGCUGGGUUCAGAACGUCGUGAGACAGUUCGGUCCCUAUCCGUCGCAGGCGUAGGAAAUUUGAGAAGACCUGUCCUUAGUACGAGAGGACC
rnacentral:rRNA from 1 species